GACGAACGCUGGCGGCGUGCUUAACACAUGCAAGUCGAACGGAAAGGCCCUGCUUUUGUGGGGUGCUCGAGUGGCGAACGGGUGAGUAACACGUGAGUAACCUGCCCUUGACUUUGGGAUAACUUCAGGAAACUGGGGCUAAUACCGGAUAGGAGCUCCUGCUGCAUGGUGGGGGUUGGAAAGUUUCGGCGGGUGGGGAUGGACUCGCGGCUUAUCAGCUUGUUGGUGGGGUAGUGGCUUACCAAGGCUUUGACGGGUAGCCGGCCUGAGAGGGUGACCGGCCACAUUGGGACUGAGAUACGGCCCAGAUUCCUACGGGAGGCAGCAGUGGGGAAUAUUGCACAAUGGGCGGAAGCCUGAUGCAGCAACGCCGCGUGCGGGAUGACGGCCUUCGGGAUGUAAACCGCUUUCGCCUGUGACGAAGCGUGAGUGACGGUGAUGGGUAAAGAAGCACCGGCUAACUACGUG
rnacentral:rRNA from 1 species